AACGAACGCUGGCGGCGUGUUUAAGACAUGCAAGUCGCACGGGAUCAUUUUGGUAGCAAUACUCGGAUGGUCCAGUGGCGCGCGGGUGAGUAACACGUGAAUGACAUGCCCUGCAGAGGGGGAUAGCCCAGGGAAACUUGGAUUAAUACCCCAUGGUAUCGCGAGAUUAAAGGGUGGCCGCAAGGCUGCCGCUGCAGGAUUGGUUCGCGUUCUAUCAGCUUGUUGGCGGGGUAACGGCCCACCAAGGCUACGACGGAUACCUGGUCUGAGAGGACGAUCAGGCACACUGGAACUGAGACACGGUCCAGACACCUACGGGUGGCAGCAGUCGAGAAUAAUUCACAAUGGGGGCAACCCUGAUGGUGCAACGCCGCGUGGAGGAUGAAGGUCUUCGGAUUGUAAACUCCUGUCAUCCGGGAGCAAGACCUGACGGUUAACAGCCGGCAGGGUUGAUAGUACCGGAAGAGGAAGGGACGGCUAACUUCGUGCCAGCAGCCGCCGUAAAAC
rnacentral:rRNA from 1 species